rnacentral:misc_RNA from 1 species
UCCGAGUUGACCCCGGCAGUCUCCCAUGAGUCCCCGGCAUAACCCGCUGGCAACAUGGAACGAGGGUUGCGCUCGUUGCGGGACUUAACCCAACAUCUCACGACACGAGCUGACGACAGCCAUGCACCACCUGCACACCAGCCACAAGGGAACGCCUAUCUCUAGACGCGUCUAGUGCAUGUCAAACCCAGGUAAGGUGGGGAUGACGUCAGUCAGUCAA